UGGCUCAGGAUGAACGCUAGCGGGAGGCCUAACACAUGCAAGCCGAGCGGUAUUUGUUCUUCGGAACAGAGAGAGCGGCGUACGGGUGCGGAACACGUGUGCAACCUGCCUUUAUCAGGGGGAUAGCCUUUCGAAAGGAAGAUUAAUACCCCAUAAUAUAUUAAGUGGCAUCACUUGAUAUUGAAAACUCCGGUGGAUAGAGAUGGGCACGCGCAAGAUUAGAUAGUUGGUAGGGUAACGGCCUACCAAGUCAGUGAUCUUUAGGGGGCCUGAGAGGGUGAUCCCCCACACUGGUACUGAGACACGGACCAGACUCCUACGGGAGGCAGCAGUGAGGAAUAUUGGACAAUGGGUGAGAGCCUGAUCCAGCCAUCCCGCGUGAAGGACGACGGCCCUAUGGGUUGUAAACUUCUUUUGUAUAGGGAUAAACCUUUCCACGUGUGGAAAGCUGAAGGUACUAUACGAAUAAGCACCGGCUAACUCCGUGCCAGCAGCCGCGGUAAUACGGAGGGUGCAAGCGUUAUCCGGAUUUAUUGGGUUUAAAGGGUCCGUAGGCGGAUCUGUAAGUCAGUGGUGAAAUCUCACAGCUUAACUGUGAAACUGCCAUUGAUACUGCAGGUCUUGAGUAAAGUAGAAGUGGCUGGAAUAAGUAGUGUAGCGGUGAAAUGCAUAGAUAUUACUUAGAACACCAAUUGCGAAGGCAGGUCACUAUGUUUUAACUGACGCUGAUGGACGAAAGCGUGGGGAGCGAACAGGAUUAGAUACCCUGGUAGUCCACGCCGUAAACGAUGCUAACUCGUUUUUGGGGCUUCGGCUUCAGAGACUAAGCGAAAGUGAUAAGUUAGCCACCUGGGGAGUACGUUCGCAAGAAUGAAACUCAAAGGAAUUGACGGGGGCCCGCACAAGCGGUGGAUUAUGUGGUUUAAUUCGAUGAUACGCGAGGAACCUUACCAAGGCUUAAAUGGGAAUUGAUCGGUUUAGAAAUAGAUCUUCCUUCGGGCAAUUUUCAAGGUGCUGCAUGGUUGUCGUCAGCUCGUGCCGUGAGGUGUUAGGUUAAGUCCUGCAACGAGCGCAACCCCUGUCACUAGUUGCCAUCAUUAAGUUGGGGACUCUAGUGAGACUGCCUACGCAAGUAGAGAGGAAGGUGGGGAUGACGUCAAAUCAUCACGGCCCUUACGCCUUGGGCCACACACGUAAUACAAUGGCCGGUACAGAGGGCAGCUACACAGCGAUGUGAUGCAAAUCUCGAAAGCCGGUCUCAGUUCGGAUUGGAGUCUGCAACUCGACUCUAUGAAGCUGGAAUCGCUAGUAAUCGCGCAUCAGCCAUGGCGCGGUGAAUACGUUCCCGGGCCUUGUACACACCGCCCGUCAAGCCAUGGAAGUCUGGGGUACCUGAAGUCGGUGACCGUAAAAGGAGCUGCCUAGGGUAAAACAGGUAACUAGGGUAAGC
rnacentral:rRNA from 1 species